GGUUCUCUCCGAAAUAGCUUUAGGGCUAGCCUCAAGUGAUGAUUAUUGGAGGUAGAGCACUGUUUGGACGAGGGGCCCCUCUCGGGUUACCGAAUUCAGACAAACUCCGAAUGCCAAUUAAUUUAACUUGGGAGUCAGAACAUGGGUGAUAAGGUCCGUGUUCGAAAGGGAAACAGCCCAGACCACCAGCUAAGGUCCCAAAAUAUAUGUUAAGUGGAAAAGGAUGUGGCGUUGCCCAGACAACUAGGAUGUUGGCUUAGAAGCAGCCAUCAUUUAAAGAGUGCGUAAUAGCUCACUAGUCGAGUGACACUGCGCCGAAAAUGUACCGGGGCUAAACAUAUUACCGAAGCUGUGGAUUGUCCUUUGGACAAUGGUAGGAGAGCGUUCUAAGGGCGUUGAAGCAUGAUCGUAAGGACAUGUGGAGCGCUUAGAAGUGAGAAUGCCGGUGUGAGUAG
rnacentral:rRNA from 1 species